GUGGAAUCUUGCUCUGUCAUCCAGGCUAGCAGUGGCGUGAUCUUGGCUCACUGCAAUGUCUGCCUCCUGGGUUCAGGUGAUUCUCCUGCCUCAGCCUCCUGAGUAGCUGGGACUACAGGCGCCUGCCAUCAUGCCCUGCUGUUUUGUAUUUUUGAGAAGUGGAAUAAUCGUAUCGCUGAUCUAUGUAAACAAAUUGAAGAAUUGUCUGAAAGAAAAUAUGGUAUGUCUAAACUGGAAAAGUCCUGUAAUCUUAUGUUCAUGGGUGUUUACACAAUGGAGUUACUCUUCAUCAUGGGGGUACCGUGGACAAGCCCAGGGCUGCCGGCGAGUCAUGCCAUCCUUACACGUUUCUCCUUGUAAGGUGCUUUGUAGUGUCUACACACUUUGUUUCUAGAUUGCUGCAAAGCUGAGGAAAAGUUGUAUUUCUUUAGUUAUUAGUUAGCAUUUCUUUUAAACUUUCAGUAUGGAGAUUGGAAAUUUAUUUACAUAUUUAUUGCAAAGCCCUGGAUCUUAGGGAUUUCAUUGAAUUAUUUAUUUAUUUUUUUUGAGACGGAGCCUCACUCUAUCGCCCAGGCUGGAGUGCAGUGGCACGAUCUCGGCUCACUGCAACCUCCGCCUCCCGGGUUCAAGCAGUUCUCUGCCUCAGCCUCCUGAGCAGCUAGGAUUACAGGCACCAGCCACCACGCCUGGCUGAUUUUUGUAUUUUUAGUAGAGACGGGGUUUCAUGAUCUUGGCUAGGCUGGUCUUGAACUGCUGACCUCCUGAUCCACUCACCUCAGCCUCCCAAAGUGCUGGGAUUACAGGUGUGAGCCGCCACGCCUGGCCAAAUAUUAUUUUUUUAAAUGAAUUGUUUCUCUUAGUCUGCUUUGUUAAAUUUGGAAUUCAUCUGGGUGCGGUGGCUCACACCUGUAAUCCCAGCACUUUGGGAGGCCAAGGCAGGCAGAUAUCUAGGUCGGGAGUUCGAGACCAGCCUGACCAACAUGGAGAAACCCCGUCUCUACUAAAAAUACAAAAUUAGACGGGUGUGGUGGCACAUGUCUGUAAUCCCAGCUAUUCGGGAGGCCAAGGCAGGAGAAUCGCUUGAACCCAGGAGGCAGAGGUUGUGGUGAGCCGAGGUUGCACCAUUGCACUCUAGCCUGGGCAAAAAGAGCAAAACUCCAUCUCAAAAUAAAUAAAUAAAUAAAAUGUUCAGUACUCACCAAGGUGCCCCUAUUGUCUCUACUUUUAUCUUGAUGCAUCACUGAAUUGAUGUUAGAUUUCAAAUUCAUCAUUGUCCUUACACUAUUCUAUCCUGAAGCCACCUUUAUAUAGUGAUGAAAGAAAUUAGUGAUUUGUUAUUAUCCUCUCUCUGUUGGUAUACAUCAAAUGCUCACCUAAAAAGAGCAACAACCAGUGGAAAACACAUGAUGUUUUUAUUUGGGUGACUAUUUACUUGUAACCUACUAGCAAACUAUAAAAUUGUAUGAUAUGCAGAAUUUUAACUGAAUUGCUUUAAGUGAACAUUUAA
rnacentral:lncRNA from 1 species